CCUACGGGAGGCAGCAGUGGGGAAUAUUGCGCAAUGGGCGAAAGCCUGACGCAGCGAAGCCGCGUGAGGGAUGAAGGUCUUCGGAUCGGAAACCUCUGUUAGCAGGGAAGAACGGUCACUGUGCUAAUCAGCAGUGAAUUGACGGUACCUGCAAAGGAAGCACCGGCUAACGCCGGGCCAGCAGCAGCGGUAAUGCGGAGGGUGCGAGCGUUAAUCGGAGUUACUGGGCGUAAAGCGCUCGUAGGCGGUAUGUCAAGUCAAGGGUGAAAUCCCCGCGCUCAACGUGGGAACUGCCUUUGAAACUGGCAAACUGGAGUGUGUGAGAGGAGAGUGGAAUUCCAGGUGUAGGAGUGAAAUCCGUAGAUAUCUGGAGGAACAUCAGUGGCGAAGGCGACUAUCUGGCACAUAACUGACGCUGAGGAGCGAAAGCGUGGGUAGCAAACAGGAUUAGAUACCCUUGUAGUC
rnacentral:rRNA from 1 species